AUUGAACGCUGGCGGAAUGCUUUACACAUGCAAGUCGAACGGUAGAGGGGGCAACCCCUUGAGAGUGGCGAACGGGUGAGUAAUGUAUCGGAACGUGCCCAGUCGUGGGGGAUAACGUAGUGAAAAUUACGCUAAUACCGCAUACGAUCUAUGGAUGAAAGCGGGGGAUCGCAAGACCUCGCGCGAUUGGAGCGGCCGAUAUCAGAUUAGGUAGUUGGUAGGGUAAAGGUCUACCAAGCCAACGAUCUGUAGCUGGUCUGAGAGGACGACCAGCCACACUGGAACUGAGACACGGUCCAGACUCCUACGGGAGGCAGCAGUGGGGAAUUUUGGACAAUGGGCGAAAGCCUGAUCCAGCCAUUCCGCGUGCAGGAUGAAGGCCCUCGGGUUGUAAACUGCUUUUGUACAGAACGAAAAGGUUUCUAUUAAUACUAGGAGCUCAUGACGGUACUGUAAGAAUAAGCACCGGCUAACUACGCGCCAGCCGCCGCCGUAA
rnacentral:rRNA from 1 species